AAAAAUGGACACUUUGAUUUGCUUAAUAAAGUUGCAAAACUCAGUAUGGUACAUGGUAUCCCUUUCCAAAAAUACUUGACUUAAGUUGGGUGAUGAUUAAGCUCUUCAGUUAAACUUUCUAGAAUGAUGCAUGAACUAUUAUUCUGUGAUUUUGGGGCAAGCACAACAUUAACACAGAGAAACACAUAUCAUUAAGUAGAGUCAUUAAGUGACUACACCAGUGACAAACCCUUUAUGUGGGCAUUCUUUGAUUGAUGUUGUUCAUGAGUGGUUGAUCAAAAGAUAUGCAGGAGAAUAUUAACAAUAUUUUCUAUUUUGAUUUUAAUAGUCAUACAUUUACUCUCAUGGAGUAGGCCUUGAGACCAGUCAGAAUGCAGUUGGUUUUGUCCUUAAGAUGGCUAAUAUUGAUUGUCAACUUGACAUACCUAGGAAUAGAGAACAUCAGUGGAAGAACUGCCUUAGUUGGAUCUGCCUGUUCUUAUGUCUGUGACACAUAUUCUUAUCUUUACAUUUUAUGUUUUUAUAUUUAGAAUUACAGCAGUUCUCCCUUCCCUUUCCUCCCUCCAGAGCCUCUUACACAACCCUCCUUACUCUUUCAAAUUCAUUGCAUUUUCUUUCAUUAAUUGUUAUUGCAUGCAUAAUUAUUCCUAAAUAUAGCCUGCUUAGUCUGUAUAAUGCUACAUGUAUGCAUGUAUUCAGUGCUGGCCAUUUGGUAUUGAAUAACCAAUUGGUGUGCUGAUGUAUGCUUUCCUGGGGAACUUCACAUCUCCUCUCAGCAUUCCUUAGUUGCCUGUAGUUUUUUGUAUAGGGUUGAGGCUUUAUGGUUUUUCCCCAUCUACUUUAAUGUGUCUGUUUCUGUUGUCCUUGUUCAGCUCAUGUUUGAGGAGUCAUGUUAGUAUAAUUUUAUUGCAUUAUUAAGAGACACAAUCUCAGAGCAAAUUCUCCAAUCUUCUGAUUCUUACAGUUGUUAAUUCAAGUAAGAAAAUCCAACCUAUUAUUAAUGAUGUCAUCCCCAGAGGGAUGGGCCUGGAUUGUGAGAAAGGUCUGGAAUGAAGAUGCUUGGCAGCCUAGUCUUCAUCCUUCUAUGAGAAAUGUAGGCAACACUGGGAAAAUUGCUGGAUAUUUCCAGAUGUGUGUGAAAAGAGAGAACAUGGAGGAAAUCACUGCCCAAACCUGAGGCACAAAGAGGUAGAAAUGUCCACUGGAAACAGUGUUAGAUAUAAAUACUUGACCUGCCUUCUGUGAAUUACUAGGGCUCAGUGCAGACAAGUCUGAGAAUGACAAAAUCCAGGAGAAGCAAGAUGUAGAGGGUUUUUCAUAUCUUCCUUUGUAGCUUUACUUUAAAGUGAUUCAGCCAUUGUCAUUGUCAACAGUUCAAGACAAACAGGGAAACAAACAAAAACCUCCCUACCUAUUUUUGGAGCUGACUGGCCAUCUAGACUUUUGAGUGAAAGUAAGCAGACCCCUUUUUUAUGGGUUGUCUGGUUUUUGGUCCCAUCAACCUAGAAUCCUAGACAAUAGACUCUGAGAACAUUUCAACUGCUAAGAACAGUGGGAAUGAAACUAUGACUCUUGCACCAGGGGGGCCUUGAUUCAUCCACAGUCAUACCAGGAGAAGGGAACCACUUGAAAUCUGCCAGAGCAUUUUGUUAUUUCUUUUUAACAAAACCUGCACUCAGCAGAAGCUGUUUUGCCAAUUGUUCAGACCCAAAUCUGAACCUCAGUACAAGGCAAUCUCAGGUAAAGCCAUCAUACCCAAGUUAGAUGCAAAUGGCUGAAUUUGGGUAGUGCACAGACCAGAGUCUCAAGCUUACUACAUGACAAAGACUUUGUCAUCUCCUGGAAUGCAUAGUUUUUGGCAUGUCUUACCCACCAAAGGUCUAUUUACAGAAGUUCAUUUUCAGUACUAUUUCAUUUUUAGCUAUCCAGGAAAACUGGGAGGCAAAUUAAAAGGACAAUAAUAUCAUCAUCAUCAUCAUCAUCAUCAUCAUCAUCAUCAUCAUCAUCGUCAUCAUAUUUAUCAUGUUAAUAUCAUCAUCAACAACAGCAACAACAGCAAUUGUUAAGGAAAGUGUAAACAUUAAAACCAGACUCAAGUAUAGCAGAGCUGCUACAAUUAAUUUCAGAGGCAUUUUAACAUUCUAGUUAAUGAGCUAAAUUCAAUAAAGUCAAUAAAGAGCAAAUGACAUGUAAGAAACAGAGGAGCAAUGCUGGUAGAUUAAUGGAAAUUAUAAGAGAUGUAAACACAAACAAGCAACAAUGACAACAACAAACCUACUGAAGAUCAAAAAUAUAGUAACAGAAAUGAAGAAUGACUUUGGUGGGCUCAUGUGGUAGAAGAACAUUGGAAUGGAAGGAAGAGCUUCCCUCAAGAGAAACUUCCAGAUUUGAAACACAAAAGGAAAAAAAAAAGACUGAGAAAGCGAAGUCAGUACAAAACAACAGCUGAAACCUGUGGGACACCUACGGAGUAGAGCAUAUGUGCGCCGGAAACACAAAAUGGUAAGAAAAAAAGGAAGAAAAAAUUGAAAUGAUGAUAUGAAAAUUUCCACAAGUUAUUAUUUGGUACUAACCCACCAAUCCUGGAAACUCAAAAAAUACCAAAUAUUCAUGCCUGGAGAGAUGGCUCAAUGAAUAUGAGCACUUGUUAUUACAGAGGACCCAGGUUCAAAUCUUAGAACCUACAUGGUGUCUCCUUACUGUCUGUUACUCCAGUUCCAGGACAUUUAAUGCCAGCUUCUAAAUUCAAUAGGUACCAGUAAACGUGUACUGGUAUGAAUAUCCAAGAAGAGAAAACACUCAGGCAUACAAAAAAGUAAAUAAAUUUUAAAAAUACAGAGUAGACUAAAAGCCUAAUAUGUGAAGCUUACUACAGCAUAUUAUAUUCAUAGAGGAGAAUACCAGCAAUAAAAAAAUGCUGAAUGAAGACAGUGGAAAAAUAAGCUAUUGUUUCUUCAGAAGUAAAGGCAAAUCACAACAUUUAAGGUCUCCCUAGACGCCCCACAAGGCAAGUUGACUGAAAUCUUUUAAUGUUCAGAGAAAGAGGGGUUGAAAUUCUAUACCCUGUGGAAUUAUUAUUUAAAAGUAAAAGAUAAAUGCAAAUUUUCAGAGUUAAACCAAAAUAGUGAGGCUGUUGUCAGAUCAGUCCUGAAAGAAAUGCUAUGAGAACUUCCAUAGAGGCAAAAGUCACAAGCUGAGAUCUACAUAAAAAGAAAAAUACCAGAAAAGGAAUAAGAGAAAGUAAAAUAAAAUCAUGUAUUUGUAAAGAUCUCAAUUGAUAUAGCAAUUUAUUCAAAAUAGAAGUGGGCCCGAAUUGGAAAGUGUAUAUGUUUACUAAUGUAUUUUUUUGAAAAUUCUUUCUCUUAGUCUUUGUUGUUACAAUAUAAUUAUGUAAUUUCUUUCUUUUUUUUCCUCCAUGAAAUCCUCCCAUAUACUGUCUUUGUUCUCUUUCAUGCCCAUGGCCUAUUUUUCAUUAAUUUGUAUUGCAUACAUAUGCAUUCUUAAAUACAUAAAUACAACAUGUUCAGUCUCUAUAAUGUUACUUGUAUCUGAGUCUUUGAGGCUGACCGGUGGGUAUUGGAUAACCAGUUGCUUUCAUUCACCUUGGAGAAGACUUUCUCUUGGUUUUAGCACUCUUUUGCUGCCUGUAGUAUUUUGUAUAGGAUUGAGGACUCCUAGGCUCCCUCUACUCCUUCAAUCCUGUCAACUUUAUUAUAAGUAUUGUUUUUUUGCAUUCUCACCAAUAAUUGAAAUGAAUGACAGUGAUGAUAUAAGGAAGAGAAGGAAGGAAUUGGAACUAUUUGGUUGUUAUAAUAAUAGGACUCUAGUCACAAACCAAUGUAUUCUCAAGAAGCAGUGUGGUGGUACUGAUACACUUUGAAGGCAUGGUGUCACCAGGAUAUCACUUUGUGAUUCCCAAGCCAUUCACUUCCUGGUAACUUGACAUAGGGUAAAGUGAUCUACACUACAGAAGUAAGGGUGGGAAAUGGUCAAAGGACCUCUUUACCGAUUUUCAUUUUAGGCUGAUUUUAUGUCUCUAAAAGUAGUAGUUUUUCCCAAGAGGUUUCACUUUGUUUAAUUGACAAACCCAUUUGGUUUUCCUUUUAGAGGUGGGGCAAUAGUAUGCUUUUUUCCUUACCAGAAAUUAUCCUUCUAGGUAGGAAUCUUAUAAUAGACAGAAAUCUGGGAGCCCCAUGUGGUUAUCUGAUAAUGAACCUGUUGAAGAUGCAUGGGUGUCAAGACUCCUCCCAGGGCCAGAUAUAUGACUCUAGUCCCUUUUCUCUGAUUAGCAAGUAAAAUUCUGUGGAUCUCAUAAUUUAGUUUACAUGUUGUUAUAGCGCAAGGGAACAGUCCAGCCUCAGUGUCCUCCAAGGUUGCUAAAAUCUAAGUAACUAACUAACAAAGAGGCAUUACAAUUAGUCACAUCAAUAAUUCAGUAACUUUUAUCUCAAUAUCUGAUUAAAUUCUUAAGAUAUGUAAAAUGAUGUUGUAAAGCCUGUGGUAUAACCCACUGGGAGUGGAGCCAGACCUAGGAUACGGUCAUGGGAUAUAUAAGAUAGCAGGCAAAGCCGUUUCUCAACAGGAAAGUAGUUGUCAGUAGAUGAUGGUAGAGCCUUGCUCCAAAAUCCCAGAGGUCUCCUCAAUGCUUGUGUAGCCAGGUUAUGAUAAUAGAAAUUAAGCAAUACUUGAAUCAUAUCUCUGAUCAUAGGAAGAGGGGUCACACUCCCAAAUUGUUAGAAGUUCCUUGACAGAAAACUAAGAAAGAGGAGAUUUUUCAUCAUUAAACCUGUUUAUAAAAACAUGUGGCACUGAAUAUCAAAUCAUCAGAAAAAUGUUAAGUCCUGUUCAGAUAGUUCAUAUGCAGCUUGCUUCUCUACUAAGCUUUCUAUUCUAUAAUUGAAAUUUGGAAUCACCUACUAUUCUAAAAUUUCAAAUUAAUUUUCCUUUUCCACUACUUCAUGUUUUUAUUAACAAGGAAUUAAUUCAUAUAACCAUGAAAACAAAUGAAAUUGGGACUGGAAGACAGCUAAGUGUGUAAAUUGAUGGAUCCACAACUGUAAGGACACAACUUUGAAACCCCAAGAGUCCUGUGUUGUCAGGUGUGGUAGUGCACAUCUGCAAUCCCAACACUCCUAUGGAGAGAUGGGAGGGAGAAGCAGUGAAUCCCAACAAUACCCAACAAUGUCCUCUGACUUCCAUACAUGAACAUCCACACACAUAUCCAUGCACAUGAAUAAAUGACAAGUAAUGGCUACUCAAAUAUUUUUGUAUGACUACCUAGUACUCAUAAAGCCGCAAGAAACAAGCAAUUUCAUGGAGUUGGAAAUUUACUUACUGAGAAAUGUCAAUUCCUAAACGUGAGGCCCCCUCACCUUGUAGGAAAAUAAUCAGUUCACUAACUUCACACUCUUAUUUUUCAUUCAUCUCUUAAGAAGUUUUUCAAAUACCUAUGAAAUCACUGCAUUGCCUUUCUCUUGACACUUAUUUAAUAAAUCCUGUACCUAUUUAAGGACUCAAACCCCAGCCCAAAUGCUCCCUAUGCAGUGUUUAAAAAUGUUGCCAUUACCUAAUGUUCAUAGUGCCCACACCUAUUAGAUUAGUUCAAACUUUUUUUUCUUUUUUGCUUAGCUGCUCUGAUUACCGUUUGCUUAUAGUUUAUUUUUAAUUCUCUUCAUUUGGACUUUAUUUCCUUUGUAGGCUUUAUUUUUUGAUUGUUAUCUUUUAAAAUCUGUCUUUUAUCUAUAAACUACCACCUUUUUAUACCCAAAUUUAGAAACUUGCUCUUGAGUGGUAUCCCAUAAAUGCCCUCUAUUGUUAUUUUUCUAUUGUAUUACUUCAAGGAAUCAAAUAUUACUACAUCUUUCAGUAAAUACGAUAAUGGUCCACUGUAAAAAUUAUGAGUCUUAUCUAAUUUGAGAGGGUCAAUUAAUGAAACAGUCAGGUAACCUGGGAAAUAGUAUCUGAAAUUUUGUGUACAGAAAGGAGUUUCACUUGAGAAAAGUCAGGAAAGAAGAAUUAGGAAGUAAAGAAUUGGAACAGGAAUGUAUUAUAUUAGACAUUGACUAUCAUGAAAUUAUAUUACAAAAGUAAUUGAUUUUUAAAAAAUGCAAAGCCAAAUAUUAGACUCAUUGUCAGGAACAUGGGUUGUUCGGAAAUUUGAUGUAAAAUAAUUUUUGUAUUUUAAAACUG
ensembl:lncRNA